rnacentral:rRNA from 1 species
GCGGCGUGCCUAAUACAUGCAAGUCGAGCGAACGGACGAGAAGCUUGCUUCUCUGAUGUUAGCGGCGGACGGGUGAGUAACACGUGGAUAACCUACCUAUAAGACUGGGAUAACUUCGGGAAACCGGAGCUAAUACCGGAUAAUAUUUUGAACCGCAUGGUUCAAAAGUGAAAGACGGUCUUGCUGUCACUUAUAGAUGGAUCCGCGCUGCAUUAGCUAGUUGGUAAGGUAACGGCUUACCAAGGCAACGAUGCAUAGCCGACCUGAGAGGGUGAUCGGCCACACUGGAACUGAGACACGGUCUAGACUCCUACGGGAGGCAGCAGUAGGGAAUCUUCCGCAAUGGGCGAAAGCCUGACGGAGCAACGCCGCGUGAGUGAUGAAGGUCUUCGGAUCGUAAAACUCUGUUAUUAGGGAAGAACAUAUGUGUAAGUAACUGUGCACAUCUUGACGGUACCUAAUCAGAAAGCCACGGCUAACUACGUGCCAGCAGCCGCGGUAAUACGUAGGUGGCAAGCGUUAUCCGGAAUUAUUGGGCGUAAAGCGCGCGUAGGCGGUUUUUUAAGUCUGAUGUGAAAGCCCACGGCUCAACCGUGGAGGGUCAUUGGAAACUGGAAAACUUGAGUGCAGAAGAGGAAAGUGGAAUUCCAUGUGUAGCGGUGAAAUGCGCAGAGAUAUGGAGGUACACCAGUGGCGAAGGCGACUUUCUGGUCUGUAACUGACGCUGAUGUGCGA